GGUAGUGUUGUAUGUGUAUGUGAUUUACGGGGGGAAACAAAAAGUUGCGUUGUUUUAGAUUGAGUAGAAAAUGUUGAUGUUGUGGGUUUAGGUGGGAAGUGGUAAUGUUCGAGGUAUCCCGUGUGGUUGUUGUUGUUUUUUUUUUUUUGGUGAUAUGUUGGAAAAGCAGCCCAGGCGCCCGGGAAAAAAGAUGGUAUGUUUUUUGUUUUAUGUGAUCCUGCCCCACGAGUUUUUUGUUGAUCUUUAAAUUCCUUAGUAUGUGUUGUUGCGUGUGUGUGUGUGUGUGAGCACAUGGUGUGUUGGGAGUAAACAGAUCGAUGUCACCGCGCGUGGAUUAAAUGGAUUUUUUAUGUAACAUAUGUGACAUCUAUGAGUUAUAUUUAUCUUUAAGUUCAUUGGGGUGUGUUGUGUGUGUGUGUAGUUGGAGAGGGUGGGUUGAAGACAGAUAAAGUUAGAAAUGUUGAAAACAGAUCGAUGUUCUCUCGUGAGGAUUAAAAGGAUUUUUUUAUGGAACAUCAGAUUCAUCGAUACGUAACCCGUGGUUGUUGAAUGAGACUGGUGCUUAUCGUUCGGUUAAUAAUCCCUAGUGCGUGUAAAUGUCAAUGAUGGUGGAUCGAGUACUGAAAUACCCUUUUUUUUCAAAGAGCUUUUAUGAGGGAAUUCUUCAGUUAAGAGUCAGCCCCCGUUUCAAUAUUGGAAGGGACACAAAAGAAAAUCCAUCCGUUUUUCAUAUCUUUUUUAAUUAAUAUAUUUAUUAAAAAAUAAAUACCCGUUUCUCCCUUUCGUUCGUGCUUGGGUUUUGAUUCUAAAUUCUGUGAAGAAAAGAGUUCUGAGUGCAUUUUCUUUGUAAUAAUUUCUUUUAGAUUUCCCCUUAUAUUAGACUGUCUUAAUUUUCAGGGGGCAAAAUAGAAAUAAUAAUGAAUUCAGUCUUUUUUUCAACAAAAAAGUUCGGGGUGGCAGAUGUUGGCUACUGUUGGGGUGGUGUGGUCAACCUUUAAAAGGCCCUGCUUAAUUUAACUCUUUCUUUCUUUGGUGUUAUCUGGAGUCUGUGUGGGUGAUCCUAGGGCCAGCAUGACUACCACCAUCCCUUUCUUUCUCCUACGACUUGGAGGCCAAGUCUGGGUCCCGUGGGGAGAAAUUUAUCUAAGAUUUACUCUGAGUUCCGAAAAUUUUAACGAAGAAACCCAAAUUUUUACAUUUAGUGUAAAUGGGUACAUUUUAUCCUAUCACUAUUUUCAACCCACUGGUGUUUUUAUACUUGUAAACUGUGAACCUAUAGACUAAGUUUGAUUCAGUGAGUGUGUGCGUGUUUUUAAAACUCUCAAAUGCUAAUUCAUGAAUUCUGUGUGACGGACCAAUUCGUGAAAAUAGUGCUGUACUAAAUCAGGACUAGAUCCCUUGAUUAGUUGUGAGACAGUGCAAGACCACCGAGACGCCUCUACCAAAGUCUCAAAAAGUACUCAUCCGUCUGUUGAACUGUGCAUGUCUUGCCCUUGAGGUUCAGCGUCCCAGAGUGGGCACCCGCAGCCCCGGCUCGUUUACGUGGAGGACAUCACUGUCACGAACUCUAGUACAGAAUAUUACCUCUUUGGCUUGCAUGAUCUUAAUGUUGGUAUGACCUUGACCUGACCAUCAAUCAUUUACAUGUAUUUAUAGAGGCACCAGCCAUCCAUGUCCAGGUGCUGUUUCAGCCUCUUUAUCAUGUCUGUGGAACAAUUAAUUGGGUUUUUUCCUUCUCAAUUUGGUUCUACUUUAAUGCACCCUGUGUCAGUGGUAGAGCUGGGCAAGUACCCAGUUAGUUACCCAGGUACCCGGAAAAAGAGUUCAAAACCGGCUACCCGGGUAUUCUGUCGGGUCAGGGUUUUCUACUCCCCUCCGUUAAAUCAUAUGCAAAUGCACUUAAAUUACGCCCCUUUGUUCGAACCUUAAUAAGUACUGAGUACUUAUAGACACUGAGCUCUCAUAGUCGAUAGAGUAGGGUACUCGAUCGAUAUUGGCCACUGGCAGUUCUUUUGCAGUCUGAGCUUUGCAAUUAGCGCUUCAUACAACUUGAGGACACGUAUUUUGAGGCAGCAUCAACUAUCCUCGACCCCCUGUUUCAAACGGCUUUCCUUCAGUGAAAGGCACAACGAAACAAAUAGAAACUCGCCUUCUUUCAAUGAUUAGAGACAAACAAGGAGACAGGCCUGAUCAAACGCCAGGCUCAUCAUCGGUUUCAGCUGUAGAAACAAUCUCCUGCAAAAAAAAAAA